UUCCUGGUUAUUGUUUACUGCAGAACGGGGUGCAGGCCAGCAAGGAAAGGGGAUGUGGGAAGAGUGGAGAGGGAGAAGGGAAGCUGUGCAGCGCCCCAGAAAGAACUAGAUAGCAGCAGGGCUGGUGAAAGGGAGGGAGGAGCAAGGAGGAGAGGAGGGGGGUGCUCUUGGCGACACGCAGCAGGGAGGUUGCAAGCAGUUGCACUGGGGUCUGUGGAGGCUACUUAUUAGGUACUAGUCCCCCCUCCCCCUUCCCGCUACUCUGCUGUCCACAAGGAGAGCAGAUCAACUCUGCUCCGGGGAGUGCAGAUGUCAGAGGCCACCUCCCUGUCCCCACGUCUGGCCGGGUGUAGUGCCUUUUGUGGCUGAAGCUACUGCUGCAGCUGCCACUGCUGGCAAUGCCCACAUGUGCCUCCCAGUCAGGCCCGCAGGAGCUGCAGGGCCUGGCAGGGCAACAUAAAGAGGGGUUACAAUCAGUUGUCAAAAAGGCUAAAACUGGACUCUGCUUUUGGCCAAGAGGCAGCAACUGGGAACCUUGGUGAGAGCAAGUUCCAUGAAGAAACCCAACUGGCGAGGUUCCAAGAUGGAGCCAGAGGAAAGAAAUUUACAGCUACAACAGUAAAGCAGUUCCCCUGUGACUUAAGAUGUGAAAAUAUAUUACAAGAAAAAUGGGGCAAUCACUGGGGGAGGGAAGCAAGUAAAGCCAAAAUAACAAUCAGAGCAGGACUCUAUUUUUAACAGAGUCAGGCAAGGAGUCAAAAGGGGCAAAACGCAAUCCUCUUUAAAUAAAAACUAACAAAUAUAUCAGUAUUAAAGUUGUGCAUUUAAACAUAACCUUUGAUUCUCAUACCAGUGGUAACAGUAGUGCUAAAUGAAAGUGUGUUAGAGUAGGCAUUAGUGUUGUAUUGUUGUUCUGAUAGUGAACUAAUACUUGGAAGUUAGUUUUAUUGCAUGUGACAUGUUGUUUUAACUAAAGAUCUUUGCUUUUCAGUGUCAAUACUGUGAGGAAAUACCAUAUACUUGAACACUUUAUUUUAAAUUACGUAUAUGUGCAUUUUCAAUUAUCUUCACUUGUAUCUACCCUAGAUGUAAAUGAAGGUCAAAGAUAAUGCAACAUUUAAAAGGUAAAUAAAUCAAAUUCAGUCUA